UGCUAGUUUAAGAAUGAGAGGGAUAAAACCUUAGGCCCUGGUUACAGGACGGUCCUUUUGCCUGGCGUGUCAAAGUGACCUGUGGCUAAAUAAGGGUGGGGAAGGAGACCCAAACCCUCCUUACAGGGCGAGGUCAGUGGCACAGGGCAUGUUAAAGGCUAAGCCCUGAAGAGCUGAAAUGCACAGAGACCUCAACCCUUCUUAAAGGGGGGUCACUCAGCCGCAGGUGCGGAAUGGGCCCAUAAAGCAUUUCUCUUGGCGAGGAGCGGACCUUGAUCUCCGUUUACGGAGAGGUCCUUUCCCCUGGGCCCUCCAGGGGGAUAAAGCCUAGGCGGACAAGUGUAAGUGCCAUAGGGAGGGCCAUGUGUGUAACGUAUGCGUGGUUUUUGACUGGCCUUUGCUUCUCUUUUCCUGCAGCUUCUUUGGUGCUUCUGUCGUCGUCUUCAUUUUGUGCUUUGAGUUGCUAGAAGGAGAGAGAAAGAGAGAGAGGUGAAGCGGACUCAGUGGAUACCACGAUUGCAAGCUUCUUUGGUGCUUCUGUCGUCGUCUUCAUUUUGUGCUUUGAGUUGCUAGAAGGAGAGAGAAAGAGAGAGAGGUGAAGCGGACUCAGUGGAUACCACGAUUGCAAGCUUCUUUGGUGCUUCUGUCGUCGUCUUCAUUUUGUGCUUUGAGUUGCUAGAAGGAGAGAGAAAGAGAGAGAGGUGAAGCGGACUCAGUGGAUACCACGAUUGCAAGCUUCUUUGGUGCUUCUGUCGUCGUCUUCAUUUUGUGCUUUGAGUUGCUAGAAGGAGAGAGAAAGAGAGAGAGGUGAAGCGGACUCAGUGGAUACCACGAUUGCAAGCCGCCCCUUCGCCACACCUGGUUCCAUGUUUCCCGGAGAGGAAAUCCAUGGGACGCAAAUCAGAUUUCACUUCAGAACCCAGAAGAGCCAAGUAGAAAUCAUUCUAGUGCCAUUUACGGUGACUAACCGAAGUAGAACCUCAACCCUUCUUAAAGGGGGGUCACUCAGCCAGAGGCACAAAGGGGAUCUCCUAGUUUAAG